rnacentral:tRNA from 1 species
GCCUGGCUGGUUCAGUGGGUGGAACGUGUGACUCUUGAUCUCAGGGCUGUGGGUUCGAAAACUAUGUUGGGUG